rnacentral:rRNA from 1 species
UAGGGAAUCUUCCACAAUGGACGCAAGUCUGAUGGAGCAACGGCCGCGUGAGUGAAGAAGGUUUUCGGACCGUAAAGCUCUGUUGUUGGUGAAGAAGGAUAGAGGUAGUAACUGGCCUUUAUUUGACGGUAAUCAACCAGAAAGUCACGGCUAACUACGUGCCAGCAGCCGCGGUAAUACGUAGGUGGCAAGCGUUGUCCGGAUUUAUUGGGCGUAAAGCGAGCGCAGGCGGAAGAAUAAGUCUGAUGUGAAAGCCCUCGGCUUAACCGAGGAAUUGCAUCGGAAACUGUUUUCUUGAGUGCAGAAGAGGAGAGUAGAACUCCAUGUGUAGCGGUGGAAUGCGUAGAUAUAUGGAAGAAUACCAGUGGCGAAGGCGGCUCUCUGGUCUGCAACUGACGCUGAGGCUCGAAAGCAUGGGUAGCGAACAGGAUUAGAUACCCUGGUAGUCCAUGCCGUAAACGAUGAGUGCUAAGUGUUGGGAGGCCUCCGCCUCUCAGUGCUGCAGCUAACGCAUUAAGCACUCCGCCUGGGGGAGUACGACCGCAAGGUUGAAAC